CUUAGAACAUAGAACAACAGGAAGGAGCCUUUCCACGCGAAUACAAGGACAGGAAGUGAGACCGAAGUGCACCAAAUUAUGACUCAUUGUUUUGUUUUGAUAUAGGUGUCAAACGUGAAGCUUUUAUCAAAUUCAUAUCAAAUUGUUAUUUUUAGGAUAUUUUUCGAGUUAAACUGCGUUGGAUUUUGUAGAGUUGAGUGAAAUUAAGUUGUGAAGUGAAUUCUGAACUAUUUUACCUAAAGAAAUUAUUAAAAUAAGAUAUUUUUGUGGUAAGGAACUUUUUCCAGAAAAUGGUCAGUUGUGUAGCUUGUGGCUAUUCAAAAACACCAAAGAAAAACAAUUCCGGUGUAACAUUUCACAGAUUUCCUUAGGAUGAAAGACGUAGAUUUAGAUGGGUGAGUUUUGUUAAUAAGCCUGGGUUUACUCCUAACAACAGGAGCUUAUUGUGCUCCAAGCACUUCAAGGAAGAAUGUUUCAACAGAUCUUCACAAUCUGUUAUUAGAUUAUUUCCCAAUGCAUUUCCAACUAUAGAAGCUCCCCGUGUGAAAUAU